rnacentral:rRNA from 1 species
AUUGAACGCUGGCGGCAUGCUUUACACAUGCAAGUCGAACGGCAGCACGGGUGCUUGCACCUGGUGGCGAGUGGCGGACGGGUGAGUAAUACAUCGGAACGUGUCCUAAAGUGGGGGAUAACGCAUCGAAAGAUGUGCUAAUACCGCAUAAUCUCUAAGGAGAAAAGUAGGGGAUCGAAAGACCUUAUGCUUUUGGAGCGGCCGAUGUCUGAUUAGCUAGUUGGUAGGGUAAUGGCUUACCAAGGCGACGAUCAGUAGUUGGUCUGAGAGGACGACCAGCCACACUGGGACUGAGACACGGCCCAGACUCCUACGGGAGGCAGCAGUGGGGAAUUUUGGACAAUGGGCGCAAGCCUGAUCCAGCAAUGCCGCGUGAGUGAAGAAGGCC